rnacentral:rRNA from 1 species
GUGGGGAAUUUUGGACAAUGGGGGCAACCCUGAUCCAGCCAUGCCGCGUGCGGGAAGAAGGCCUUCGGGUUGUAAACCGCUUUUGUCAGGGAAGAAAUCCUUUGGGUUAAUACCUCGGAGGGAUGACGGUACCUGAAGAAUAAGCACCGGCUAACUACGUGCCAGCAGCCGCGGUAAUACGUAGGGUGCGAGCGUUAAUCGGAAUUACUGGGCGUAAAGCGUGCGCAGGCGGUUUUGUAAGAUCGAUGUGAAAUCCCCGGGCUCAACCUGGGAACUGCAUUGGUGACUGCAAGGCUGGAGUGCGGCAGAGGGGGAUGGAAUUCCGCGUGUAGCAGUGAAAUGCGUAGAUAUGCGGAGGAACACCGAUGGCGAAGGCAAUCCCCUGGGCCUGCACUGACGCUCAUGCACGAAAGCGUGGGGAGCAAACAGGAUUAGAUACCGAGUAGUCC